rnacentral:rRNA from 1 species
GAUGAACGCUGGCGGCGUGCCUAAUACAUGCAAGUAGAACGCUGAAGCUUGGUGCUUGCACCGAGCGGAUGAGUUGCGCACGGGUGAGUAACGCGUAGGUAACCUGCCUCUUAGCGGGGGAUAACUAUUGGAAACGAUAGCUAAUACCGAAUAACAGUCGAUAUCGCAUGAUAUUGAUUUGAAAGGUGCAAAUGCAUCACUAAGAGAUGGACCUGCGUUGUAUUAGCUAGUUGGUGAGGUAAAGGCUCACCAAAGCGACGGUACAUAGCCGACCUGAAGGGGUGAUCGGCCCCCCUGGGAAUGGGACACGGCCCAGAAUCCUACGGGAGGCAGCAGUAGGGAAUCUUCGGCAAUGGGGGCAACCCUGACCGAGCAACGCCGCGGGAGUGAAGAAGGUUUUCGGAUCGUAAAGCUCUGUUGUAAGAGAAGAAAGAGUGUGGGAGUGGAAAGUUCACACUGUGACGGUAACUUACGAGAAAGGGACGGCUAACUACGUG